rnacentral:rRNA from 1 species
UACGUAGGGUGCGAGCGUUGUCCGGAAUUAUUGGGCGUAAAGGGCUCGUAGGCGGUCUGUCGCGCCGGUAGUGAAAACUCAGGGCUUAACCCUGAGCCUGCUUCCGAUACGGGCAGACUAGAGGUAUGCAGGGGAGAAUGGAAUUCCUGGUGUAGCGGUGAAAUGCGCAGAUAUCAGGAGGAACACCGGUGGCGAAGGCGGUUCUCUGGGCCUUACCUGACGCUGAGGAGCGAAAGCGUGGGGAGCGAACAGG